GCGGGAGUUCUCUCAAAGUUUUCAGCUUUGCGCGUCUGCUUCGUUCCAAUUCGCUUCCGAACACUGGCUUCCAAAACAUUCCCUUCGCUGUUCCCGCCAAAAACUCUCUUUUUUAAAUAACAUUUUACAAUAACAUUAACAGAUCAAGAUACCGCUGCGUGAGAAAAAAAAUUGUUUCAUUCUUUGUAAUAGUUUUUUGUUGCUAAAAUGAUGACUCGCAGAAAGAAUAUGUUCGUGUAUUGUUCGCUCACGGUAGUAUUGAUAUUCUUGAUGAAAGUCGAAACAUCCGAUGGCAGCCGGAUACACCGCGACACAGAUGCAGCAAUGAAAGAGAUGUCCAACCUUUUUCACUCUUUAUUCCCCUUAGUUCCGCAGCAAACUCAUUACUUUUGGAAGACUAAUCAGCUAGGAAGUGCGACAGUUCAAAGAACACCAGCAUCUCUAAAGGACCUAGAGGAGGAUGAAGAAAUCGGCAGAGAACGAACCCUAGUCCCUUGGCGCCUUCAGAUUGAUUUCAGGAAAAGGGGCCCGGACUGCAUGAGGAAGUGCAUAACCCAGGGUGUGCUACACCCGGUUCAAUGUCAUUCCCUUUGCUGAACGAAGGCUCAUCUGAAUCCUGGCGUGGCAAGACGCUGUUUGGAAACUAAUGUCAGGGUAACUACGGAAGUGGUAUUUUUGUCUCGUUCCUGAAGCCACAACUCUAAUGACCUCGACGGAUGUAUGACACUACAUUGCUGACGCCAUUUGAUUUGAAAGAGCUGAAGCCCUUUUUAAACUUGUUUUUAGUUGGCACAUUUUAGUCGCACAAACUUUCGUUUGCAUUGGUUUUAGAACUCUUCAAUUGAUUGUGUGGUACGCAUGCUAAUUCUACGUUUUUAGUGAAGGUUCUGCAUGUUUGAAGCUGUUGUUACAACGCUGUUUUAUUCCUCGGAAGCAAAACCGCGGCUUGCAUUGAUUUUCUUUGUAAGACUGUUUUACGAAGAAAUCACUUUGAAAUCCUUGUAAAAAUGACAUUAAUAAGUUAUCAUUGUUGUAAAAAUUAUAUGUAUUAAAUGCAAAA